rnacentral:rRNA from 1 species
AGUGAACGCUGGCGGCAGGCCUAAUACAUGCAAGUCGAACGGCAGCACAGCAGAGCUUGCUCUGUGGGUGGCGAGUGGCGGACGGGUGAGGAAUACAUGGGAAUCUGCCCAGUCGUGGGGGAUAACGUAUGGAAACGUACGCUAAUACCGCAUGCGCCCUAAGGGGGAAAGCCGGGGACCGCAAGGCCUGGCGCGAUUGGAUGAGCCCAUGUUCGAUUAGCUAGUUGGCGGGGUAAAGGCCCACCAAGGCGACGAUCGAUAGCUGGUCUGAGAGGAUGAUCAGCCACACUGGAACUGAGACACGGUCCAGACUCCUACGGGAGGCAGCAGUAGGGAAUAUUGGACAAUGGGCGCAAGCCUGAUCCAGCCAUGCCGC